rnacentral:rRNA from 1 species
CGGAGAGGGAGCCUGAGAAACGGCUACCACAUCCAAGGAUGGCAGCAGGCGCGCAAAUUACCCAAUCCCGACACGGGGAGGUAGUGACAAUAAAUAACAAUACGGGGUUCUUUAGGAUCUCGUAAUUGGAAUGAGUACAAUUUAAAUCUCUUAACGAGGAACAAUUGGAGGGCAAGUCUGGUGCCAGCAGCCGCGGUAAUUCCAGCUCCAAUAGCGUAUAUUAAAGUUGUUGCAGUUAAAAAGCUCGUANNUGAAUUUCGGGGUUAGUAGGUUGGUCAUGCCUCUGGUAUGUACUGGUCUCACUGAUUCCUCCUUCCUUAUGAACCGUAAUGCCAUUAAUUUGGUGUUGCGGGGAAUUUGGACUGUUACUUUGAAAAAAUUAGAGUGUUUAAAGCAAGCUAACGCUUGAAUACAUUAGCAUGGAAUAAUGAAAUAGGACGUUCGAUCUUAUUUUGUUGGUUUCUAGGAUUGACGUAAUGAUUAAUAGGGAUAGUUGGGGGCAUUAGUAUUCAAUUGUCAGAGGUGAAAUUCUUGGAUUUAUUGAAGACUAACUACUGCGAAAGCAUUUGCCAAGGAUGUUUUCAUUAAUCAAGAACGAAAGUUAGGGGAUCGAAGACGAUCAGAUACCGUCGUAGUCUUAACCAUAAACUAUGCCGACUAGGGAUCGGAUGAUGUUAAUUUUUUAAUGACUCAUUCGGCGCCUUACGGGAAACCAAA